ensembl:lncRNA
AAAAGAAGGAAUAAUGGCCGUGCCAAAAAGGGCCGCGGCCACGUGCAGCCUAUUCGCUGCACCAACUGUGCCCGAUGCGUGCCCAAGGAUAAGGCCAUUAAGAAGUUCGUUAUUCGGAACAUUGUAGAGGCCGCGGCGGUCAGGGACAUUUCCGAAGCGAGCGUUUUCGAUGCCUAUGUGCUUCCCAAGCUGUAUGUGAAACUACAUUAUUGCGUGAGUUGUGCCAUUCACAGCAAGGUAGUCAGGAAUCGUUCUCGUGAAGCCCGGAAGGAUAGAACACCUCCACCCCGAUUUAGACCUGCGGGUGCUGCCCCACGACCUCCACCAAAGCCCAUGUAAGGAACUGAGUUCUUAGAGACUGAAGGAAUUCUAUCCUUUAAAAAGACAAUAAAAUGGAGACUAUACUUAAUAUGGCAUGUUGAGUGUGUGUUGCCAGAUAUAAUGGGGGUUGUGUAUGUUACAGGAACUGUAACUUCACCACAUAUUGAACUCUGUGAGUGUCACAUAGUCUUUUUCAUGGAGGCCGGGGUGGUUAUGUAAGUUAAACCUCAACUCCUGUGUUUCUCUUACAUUUCUGUCUUUGACCUCCCCAAUUUGCAUAGCUAUGGGGGAGAGGAGUUAAAGCAUCUGUAUUAGGUUAAUUCAACCUGGCAUGUUGGCGUAAACUGGUGUUCUAAGAACAGGAUAAGGAGUUUUGUGAGGAACUCAUCAGGAAGCAAUUUAGACUGAUCUAGGUGUGAGUAUCUUUAGUGGGGGACACAAGGCUUUAAUGGAAGUUUAUGGCCUGAAUAGCUUCAUGGGAUCUGAUUCCAGAUCCUUAACUUCGUUAAUUCACCUCUUUGCCUUGAAUUGGUUUGCUGGUUAGCCAGUUCUCACCCAACCUUCAUCUUUCUGCAGUGAUUUUCUCUAUCAAGUAAAAAAGCCCAGGACACCAGGUAUUCUAGAAACUUGGGGGGGGGUCCCACAAGAAGAUAUUUCCCCCACAAUGUGAGGAAGGGUUGUACCUAAUGUGACCUUUACAGCAAUGGUUCAUUUGUCCCAGAAUUCAGAAAUUAGAAAGUCGCCAGCUAAGGAUAUGCAGUUGACCCUUGAACAGUGUGGGUUUAACAGUGGCGUUGUUAUGGUUUUCAACAGUUAGUUGAACUGUCAGAUGUGAAAGCAGGGAUGUAAACGGCCAGCUCUAAAGUUAGUUACAUAAGGAUUUUUUUGGUUAAGGGCCAAACCCAUGGCACAUGGAAGUUCCCAGGCUAGGGGUCACAUCAGAGCUGCAGCUGCCGGCCUGCAUCACAGCCACAGAAACACAGGAUCCAGGCCAAAUCUGACCUACACCACAGCUCACAGCAGUGCUGGAUCCCUGACCCACUGAUUGAGGCCAGGGAUCAAACCCACAUCUUUGUGGAUCCUGAGCCAAGACGGGAACUCCCAUAGGAAUUUUUGACUAGGUAGUGCCCCCUAACCCAUGCCUUGUUUGAGGAGCAACUGUAUGUAUGAAAAAUUUUUGGGGGAAUGGAUUGAAAUACACAUUUGCCGGGGAACAUGUUUUCGCAUGUGUCUAUAUUCAAAGGAAUAUGAUAGCAAAGAAGGGGUGGAGUAUUUCAGCUCAUGGGGUAGUCCUUUUAAUUGGGGAACCCUUUAUGAAAUCCCAGUUGGAAACUGUUGACCUCGACUUGCCUUCGGUCUGUGUACCAACAUGUGCUGGAACAGCUGUGGCAAGUCCUGAAUUUGUUAAAACACUGAAUGUAGGCAGGACAGUCUAUCCUUUGGAGAGACCUACGAUGUCAGCUCUUUCAUUCCUCUGUAAUGAUCCCUUUACACCAGGAAUAAAACACUGGAUAGUAGAAAAUCAGAUGCAAGGUGAAAAUGCUACCAAACCUAAUGGUUCCAAAUCCUACCUUGCUCAGUAAAACCAGAUUCAGGUAAGUCCAGGACUGUGUAAUUACUGUGAGAGUUCCCUUGAGAUAUUUAUAGACACAGCUUAUCCUUUUUUCGGGAUAGGCCUUAACUGAGAUGUAAAUUCACGUGUUCUCCCAUGAAUUUAAAAUUUGAUUCAUGAGUUUUUUUUUUUUUCUCUUUUGGCGAUAGCUCUGGCAACACUAGAUCUUUAACCCACUGCAGGCCAGGGCUUAAACCCAUGUCUCAGCAGUGAUCCCAGCCAAAGAGGGCUUUCCAUGUGCUUCAGGCUCUAAAAUAGCCCCAGUCUACCACCAGGUGUAAGUCAGAUCUGGUAGGCAACCAGGAUAUCCAGUGUCCACCUAGGUAGGAAUCCAUCACUUAUCACAGAAAAGAAAACCAUAUAUGUAGUCGGACAUGGCCUGCAGUUUAGUUUGAGGUCUCAGUAUAUUUGGACCACAAGAUCAACAGCUUGCUUUGCUUAAGUGUGGACUGAGGUUCUAGUAGUUGGUCACAAAGAAGACUGUAGACCUUUGAGCCUUUGCCUCCCUCCCACCCCCAGCUUGUUUUAAUGGAGUAUUGGGUAGGGGGGAGAUAAUUGCUGUCUCAGCACCUCCCUAAUAUAUUCUCUAGACUUGAUAUAUUUUCUAGGCUUGAUGCGUGAGGAGUGUUUAAACCAGUUAGAAGCCUCUGGACUCUUCCACCUAUUGAUCCAUGUUCACCUGUGAGGUUAUUGGAUUUCAAGUCAAUUCCCCGUGGUAACUAGAAUUUAUUAAGGGUCCUGGACCACAUUUUCCUUCAAACUGAAUUCCUAAAUUUUU